rnacentral:rRNA from 1 species
GAUCAUGGCUCAGGAUGAACGCUAGCUACAGGCUUAACACAUGCAAGUCGAGGGGCAGCAUGUGGUUGCUUGCAACCAAUGAUGGCGACCGGCGCACGGGUGAGUAACGCGUAUCCAACCUUCCCCUUAGUAGGGCAUAGCCCGGCGAAAGUCGGAUUAAUACCCUAUGUUAUUCGUCGAGGACAUCUGAAGUGAAUCAAAGAUUUAUCGCUAAGGGAUGGGGAUGCGUCUGAUUAGGUUGUUGGCGGGGUAACGGCCCACCAAGCCAUCGAUCAGUAGGGGUUCUGAGAGGAAGGUCCCCCACAUUGGUACUGAGACACGGACCAAACUCCUACGGGAGGCAGCAGUGAGGAAUAUUGGUCAAUGGGCGAGAGCCUGAACCAGCCAAGUAGCGUGCCAGGAUGACUGCCCUAUGGGUUGUAAACUGCUUUUAUACGGGGAUAAAGUGAGGUAUGCAUACCUUUUUGUAGGUACCGUAUGAAUAAGGACCGGCUAAUUCCGUGCCAGCAGCCGC